AAGAACAGUGUCCAAUAAAAUAAACCUUAUUCAAUAUUGACAUAUCACAUGUUCGGUUGAAUUGUUAUUCUUGUGUAGCAGGUAAUAGCUAGUGAAAGUGUAGUUUAUGCCGAAUGAAGUGCGAAUCACGUGACGGUUGCCAGUGAACUCGUGUUCAUUUAGUAGGCAGUCGCCGAAGGACAAAGACGUUUGGGGACAAAGAACGAACACAAAGCGCAGAAGGAAGGCUUGAGGGCAUAGUCUUUUACUAUUUCCAUGCUUGGAAAUGUGAAAUGAUGACAGUCCUUGUGUGGAAAGCCAGACACUUUGUACCCAUGGAAAUGUGAAAUGAUGCCAGGUGUUGUGUAUGUCACCUGCCUGCACUCUACUAUACCUUGACUGCAUGGAUCUUCAGUAUUUCCAUUUAGAACUCUGAUGACACGACAAAACAAUUCUACAAUCUUCACCAUGAUUAUGGUCGAAUUGCAAUUCCAGCAUAGCAAGUGCAGUAUAGUGUAAAGCCAGCAUGUAUGUUUUUCUCACAAAGCAACAAGGUGUGUCAAGGCAGAAGCUGUGCAUCUUGAGAGGCAUGAGAAUGUUUCUAUUCCAAUAUGGCUGUGAGCAUGAAAUCACCUGACCAUGUGCAGAAAACAUCUUCUGUGAACCAAUCAACUUUUUAACAUAGUGACAUGUUUUCCUCCCAAUUUAGAUGUUCAGUGUAUGAUUGGUCAUCUUAACCAAGAAACAUUGCAAGCUCACUGAAAUCUGCAAUCACUUCAGCCGACUUGGUCAUGAUAGUGAAAAUUAAAGUUCCUGAAAAAUCGGCAUGUUGAUGAUCAGUAGCAGUCAGAAUGUGAGGCAAAAAUGACUUUGGCAGUAACCCAGACAUUCCUUAUGUAUCUUCAUACAUCUGUGUCUUAGUCAAGAAGUUAACUUGGACCUGUCCCACAGGGAGUCAUUGAUUACCAACUAGGUAGCAGGACACACUUCACAGAUGGAACCACAAUAAACUGUUUACUAUCUGUAACAGACCUGAUACUGAAGGCUAUAACCAAAGCCUAAGCUGGAAUCUGCUGAGGUGAAAUAAACAUAAGACUCAUCGAGUGUGACAUUAGAGCAAAAUUUAUUCAAAUGUGACGAAAGAUAAACAUUAAAAUUCACUUAAGUAACAAUUUAAGUAAUGUUUAAAGGUGAUAGUGAAAACUAUGAAUUUGACAUUAAAGUUCAGGAUGACAGUGAAAAAGAGACAGUAAUACUUACUUGUAAAAUUCAGGUGUGACCAUGUUAGAUUAGAUAUUUGAACCACUGCAUGUUCUAUUAAAAUUAUGUUUAAAUGUGACAGUAGACACAGUAAAAUGAGGAUAAUAUGUGAAUUGGUAUGAAUGUCAUAUAAUAAAGUGUAAUUGAUAUUUCCAGUGUAUU
rnacentral:lncRNA from 1 species